rnacentral:lncRNA from 1 species
AAUUUCAAGAAUAUGGAAUUUUCCUAAAGGUUCUGUAGCCUCUCGAGGAUAAAUAUAAACGUCACUGUACCGAUCCGUGAGACUCUACUAAACCUGCUCAUGACUCAUGAGACCUAUGUAACAUAGGCUUUGAUACUAACUUGUCACUACCCAAAACCCAAUCUUGGUCGUGAUGACGCCUCUCAUGAAGACAAGGCCAGCU